rnacentral:lncRNA from 1 species
UAUCCUCACCCCAAGACCAGACUAGGAUUAAUGAUUUUGCUCUGGGCCCAGAAAAAUCAGCCCCCUUGAGCACAGAUUGCCUUGGGCUGGGACUCUGGACAUCUCCACAGAGUCAUUGAAGUCCAGAAGAAAGCCAAAAGUAAAAAUGAUAGAUGAUGGCUCAGGAUGCAGUGGAUGACCUUGUUAUUUUUGAUGUCUGACCAAGCUGUAAAUGUCCAAUAGUGGCUGCUUCAACUUCCUUGAUGGUUAUUGGAACAAAGUGUUCUCAUCUGCCCAUUCCAUUGUAGAAAGUCUUCAGGUGCUUGGGAAAGACUGUUCCUUAACUCACUGACAGAACUAGGUAAAACUAGCAAAAAGGAAGAAGAAGAAGAAGAAGAAGAAGAAGAAGAAGAAGAAGAAGAAGAAGAAGAAGAAGAAGAAGAAGAAGAAGAAGAAGAAGAAGAAGAAGAAGAAGAAGAAGAAGAAGAAGAAGAAGAAGAAGAAGAAGAAGAAGAAGAAGAAGAAGAAGAAGAAGAAGAAGAAAGAGGAGGAGGAGGAGGAGAAGGAGGAGGAGGAGGAGGAGGAGGAGGAGGAGGAGGAGGAGGAGAAGGAGAAGGAGAAGGAGAAGGAGAAGGAGAAGGAGAAGGAGAAGGAGAGGAAGAGGAAGAGGAAGAGGAAAAGGAGGAGUUAAGGAGAUGAAUAGAACUAUAGAUAAGUAAAAUAUGAUAGAUAUCUGGUUAAAUGUCUCCACACAUCUACAUGACGUUAGCAGUAGAUCUAAGCCUAAGCAUUCACAUAAUUCAAACAGAGUUGCUGAUGAGACAACAAUGGUUUAGCGAGCAUAAAUAUUCUGCAAAAGUCUUUGUUUGACAAAACAAAUAAUACAAAUUCGAUGAAUAGGAGAUAUGGCUGAAUAGAUUGUGAUAAUUGAGUGUAAUGACUGUAUUCUGUUAUUAGAAAUGACAAAUAUUGGAAAUACUCUAAAGGAAA